UACGUAGGGGUGCAAGCGUUUGUCCGGAAUUAUUGGGCGUAAAGAGCUCGUAGGCGGCUUGUCGCGUCGACUGUGAAAUCCCGAGGCUCAACUUCGGGCUUGCAGUCGAUACGGGCAGGCUAGAGUUCGGUAGGGGAGACUGGAAUUCCUGGUGUAGCGGUGAAAUGCGCAGAUAUCAGGAGGAACACCGAUGGCGAAGGCAGGUCUCUGGGCC
rnacentral:rRNA from 1 species